CUCCAAAACCUGCCCUCACCUGCGUUUUCCUUCACAGACGCUCACUCUCUUUGCUACAAUUCACCAUCGAUCCUCAGCCCAGUCCUGGAGAGCCGUGGUGUGUGGCUCAAGGCCAGGUAGAUGGGAAUGUUUUUCUCUCCUAUGACUGUGGUGGCGCCAUGAUCUAAUCCACAAGUCCAUUGGGAGAGGAGGUGAAAACUAUGAACACUUGGGAAACACAGAGAGAAACACUGAGAGACAUCAGGGACUUCCUCAAGGGGCAAUUGCCUGAUGUUAUACUGGAGAAACACAUGGCCAGAGAAUGAACCACUGUCCAGUGUCCAUUCUCUGAGUCAAAGAGGAGGCACAUUUGUCCACUGAUGCCGAACUGCCAGGAUCCACUGAUGUGUCCAUCCUCUUCACACUGACAUGUCAUCCUGCCCUGCGAGGUCAGUACCCAGGAUCGGCCAACACACAGCCUUUCUGGAUACAUGCCAGACAGCUCUGCAGGAAAAGCCUAGAUGGAAGAGGACUUUCAGAAUCGAACCCGGAGUCCUGCCAGAGAUGGAGAGCAUGUGGGGGCUGCUUCUGAGGAGCAUUUCAUUUCUAGAGCAGAGCCCCUUUUCAGAAUGCAUCCCCAGAGAAGGAAGCUAUGUUUCAGUGGAGUGCCCUUUGUUCACCACAGUAAGUGCAGAAGUCCUUUCCUUCUUUCCCAGUGAGCCGCAUGACCAUGGGCUCAGGUAAGUGAACCUGAAGGAGAAGAAAUGACUCCCACAUUCAUGUUGGACCUAGCAUGUUACUAGCAUUAUGCACAGGGACUGCAGUAUCAUCAUGGCCUCCCUGUUUCUGAAGUGCGGCUCGGGGCUCCAGGCAGUCAGUGGACAGCUCUGCCAGGCCCUGCUAACAGUGCUUAUCCCUGGGCCCACAGAUCCACACCACACUCAUUUCACGUGGCCUGGAUUUCUGACAUGAAUGGACAAUCUUUGUAGUUAGUAAAACACCCAUUGGGUGAGGGCUACCAUAGUAGGGAUUUCCACAUUCACACUUCUGACCUGACUCUGUAUCUCACAGUAGUA